AACCCGCAGCGUACAUUUCAGUCAUAUUGUGAAACUAGUCAUCUCUUCAAAGGACCAAACUUUCCAAUUAUUUCAGAUAGUUCUCACAGCUAGGAAAAUAAAUUCUAGCUCUAUGAAAUGUUGUGUUAUUUAUACAUGCUUUUAAAAAUAAAGAAGUGAUCUAUAAGUAAAUGCAACUGAAAUAAUUUUAUGUCUCUUAAUCAAAAAAAAAACAAGUAUCACACAUUUCACAUAAUGUGUGACUAUUAUUUUCAGCUGUUCUGAGGGGUGACUUGUUUCACAAUAUGACGGUAAUGGAAUCAAUAGAAUAAUGUUCCCGUAUGAUUUCUUAUGAGGAUGGGGUUUGGUUUUGGUUUGCUUUUAAACUUUAUAAAUAGUGAAAUAAAUACAUGUCAGGUAUUUUCACAUUUUUGAGAAUACUCCAUUGCCACCAAAACCAGGAGGUAAAAAAGUAAAAAAACCUCAAUACAGACUUAACAUCCUCAACCUUGUUUUGGCUUCACGUUCCUUGAUUUUGCUUUCUUCUUUGCUUAUUUAGAUCUUCAGUUUUCCACUCAAGUAUUUUCUGGCUUUGUGAGUCAAACAUAAAAUAUCAUUUUAAUGGCAACAGGUGUUAGAGCUGAUAAGGUCAUCCUUUGUCCUUCAGUGUUGUUCUGUUCCAAGUUUCCAGUACGCAUUUAUCAUGUGUGUUGUGCAGGAGUUCAGCUGUGUGUGUAGGGGGGAUAAUCCAUUCAGCAGAAAUAGAAUAUAGACUAAUUACAUAUAGACUGUAAUUUCCUGAAUCCCCUGUAGAUCUAGAUACCUGUAGCAGAGCAGAACAUAGCUGCUUAUGAUGGGGAGGAAAAAAGGACAAAAUAAUACACUCUGCAUUCAGUAGUAGUUAUACUUCCAUGCCUGCCUUCAGAGGAUGUGGCAUCUGGCUGUUUCCUCUCUCUUUUGCCAGAAGCACUUGAAGCAUUUUAUGUCACACUUACUUCUUCCAUCAUAGAAACCUCUGAUUGCAUCCUCACUCCAGAAUCUUUUAAGCUGGUAAGGGAGCGUCAAUCAUCAUUCAUACCUUUACAAUCUUAUUUAAGUGGAAGAGCAAUGUCCUUGGAAAUUGCAGCAUUUUUUCAGUGCUCAGCUCAGGAAGGGGCAUCAGAAUUUCAUAGUUUCCUUUUUAAUCUUGGUUACGUUUUCCUUAAUGCUGUACAAAAAUUCCUCUCACUCAUUAUGUUCAGUCAUAAAGUAUGUAGUAUAGAUGACAUUUCAGUUAGGGAAGGACAUGUUGGAGCAUUAUGGUUGAUUCAGGUGAGUAAUAAUGCUACAUACAAUUUGAGUGUCUUUUCUCAUGGGUGAGGGAAGAGCUUUUGGCUUCUUAUGUCUUGUUCUUUUAGUUAAAAAAAAAAAAGUUAAUUCCCAAAGCCAUAACAAGAAUUAUAACAGAGGUUUGCUGCUGCCCUGGUAUGGGCACUUAUCCCUGUUUGCAGUGGGUGUAACAGGCUGUUUCACUGUUGGUGAAGAGUUUGGAAUCAGCAGCAUUUCUGCAGGCACUUUGUGCUUGGUCAGGACAGGUGUGGCUGUAAAUACAGGCAGGCAGGGAAGGGCAAAGCUGGCUGAGAAUUUUAGUCUAAGGUAAGGCUCCUUUCCCCACAGCACACCAUUUGUCACUUAGGAAGCAGUUAAAGGCUAAAGUGGGAAUGAAAAGUAAUAUUCCAAAACAAAUACCUGGAGGCGAAAAUAAAGAAGAGUGUAUGUCAUUCUUACUGUGUCAGGAAGGUAAUCACAGCCAUAAUUUUGUUUUCUAAAAAUGGGUUUAAAGGGUGCCACCUUUGCAUUAGGCAAUUCCCUGAAUGAUCAGUUUGAAUCUAUUUUGCACCUCUGCAAUGAGGCAAAAUAUUGUUCCUCUUGUAUGUAGAAAGCAUAACUGUUCCAGUACACAACAAAUUUAACUAGUUCUGCACGCCUCUUCAGGAAACUUUGAUGUAGCAUAAGGAAGAUAGCACAGGUUAUGUAUAGUUCUUUCAGUGAGCUCUGAAAAAUGCUUGCUGGUCUUGUGAUAAUGCUGCUGUAAAGAAAUGUGUUGUAUUUGUUAUUUCUUGUGGCAUGACUGUCACACAGGUCAUGUCUGUGCAGGCGCAUAUCCUGUUGCAUCCCCUUGUGGGUAGCAAAUGCUUUGAAGAAGAGGGGAGAGUUGUGUUUUCCUUUGCCAACCUCUUGUUCCUUGCUCUUACCUGACAUCCAUCAAAACCAUUUGCAAACUCAGCUAUUAGCUGAUGGUCACCCAAGUUUUUAAUGGGUGCAGAAGCCGUCUGUAGUUACGUUGUUGCAUUAUCUGCUACCACCACCAUCUAUAUCCACAGUGACCCUUAUAGAAGAAUGGUUACUUUCUCCACAAAAAUAUUUGUAUCUUUUGCACUUGGUUAUUGUGUGUGUGUGCAUUUGUCUUUAUAGUACUGCAGGAAUGUUUGUGUUCCACUUCACAGAUUGCUGGAUCUCCAUCUACUCUGUUUUAUUUCAGUUUUGCUUAGAGACUCUCCUUCAUCUUCUGCGUAUAGUAAUAGUGGCCUUCUGCUUUAUAGAGUAUACCUGGAAGUAAGCAGCAGUUUUCAAUAAAGCCUCCCAGUUUACCUCAUUCUUUUCAUUAUUAGCACAAUGUGAAUGCAUCAUAGCCCGGUGAAUACAUAUAUGUUGAUUUUAAGUCAGCUUUUCUUUCACAAGAUAGUUGCAUUAACCCUUAAUGAUUUCUAAAAAAAUGCCUGUUAAUGGAACUAUAAUGUGGCCUUUGGCAACCAAUGCUAAAAGGUUUCUGCAGGCUGAGACCAAAUAUGCUUCAAAUAUGAAUGGGAACAAAUUCAGAGAUGAGGUGUGGCAUUAUAAGAUGCCUGCAGUGAAACCUGUCAUUGUUUCUGAUUGUAAAUUAAUGGAGAAUCCUGCACAGUAGGAGUCAUCAUGUGGGUGUAGCAGUGCUGCUGUGGCAGCGAAUUACGGUUCUGAAAAACUGUAAUGUUACAUCAAGAGGAUCAUUACAGCUGAGCAAGCCAACCAAAAUGCCCUGAACGAAUGAAACUGCGUGUUUAACAGCACUCUGUCAGUCAGUGCUGCAUAACUACUUCAUGGCUUCAGUCUGGAAAGUCAUCUUAGAGGACCAAGGAAUUAGACAGAGAAGUAGCGUAAGAGAAAGACUUGCUUUGGAAUCCAGAGGUUCACUGUAGGAACUGUUUGUUUGGGGCUUUUUUCAUGUUUAUACAGAAGUGACUGAUUGAAACUAAAUUGUAUUAAUAUACAAUUUAGUAUAUCAAUUUCUAUCUGUAAGCACAUAUAAAUAUGUCUAUAGAUAGAAGGCCUAAAAAAUACAAAAUGUUUUGUGAGACCUGUUCAGUUUAGCAGAUAAAUGUCAAGUAAUAUUUUGUCUUUCUUCAUGCAUUUUUAGCAUUGUUUUAACAUGUUGGCAUUGUGUUUUUUUUUCCUGUGGGAAACAAAAUGUAGGCUUUCUGGGCUUGUGAAUUUUAUACUGCUAGAAUCAGAAAUCUCUCUUGAAUCUGUCUUCCCAUAACAGAUUAGAAUAGCAGUCUCCCUGAUCUCUUGGGGCUUAUAAUUAUGAUUUUUUUGAAGUCUUCACUGAGCUAAUAUUUGAGGCAAUACAGAAUUUAGAAAUGCGGCCCAUCAGCAGUUUGCUGUAUUCUAGUUUCUCCAUGAACAAUAUUAAGGAAGUAUGAAGUUUAAUAAAAUACAUCAAGGCUUUAUUCAACUGUAUAUUGCUGCUGCAAAAAAAAUUACAAGUAUUUUGAAGAAAAUUAAAGAUUAUAAUCCUAUUACCAUGGAAUAAAAUAGUCUUAAAAAUCAUAACCAAGAUCUAAUUAUGAAUGCCAAUAUAUAAAAUUAAGGAGGUGGUAAGAUGCAGGUUUUUAAUGCAUCCUUUUUAGGGGGUUUGCCAUGCAAAAAGUACAAAGCGAAAGGCAGCAUUCGAAGAUGCAAGGCAGAGUCUCCCCAAGAUCUCCUUUGUUCUCCAACACCUCUCCAAGGCUCUUGCAUGCUCUGCUGAGACAGGCUGAUCUGUGUCUGCUUCAUAGAGGAAGCUGUUUUGGAAGUGAGAUGUUAAAAGGAAGUAGUUCUCAGCUGCUGCUUUUGGCAAGGAGGAAGCCCUGUUAAUAGGAGAAAUGAUGAAAGGAAAAGACUUAAGGUCACAAAGGUUAAGUAUGAAUUAAUGGAUAGAAUGAAUCAGGGUGGGAAAGGAAAAGCGAGUAUUAGUUGCUACCUCAUUCCCCCAACUACUUAAGAUUUUCGGCUCCCUGGUUGUGUUUACGUGGGUUUGACCACUGUUACAUAGAGACGAAAAACAGAGAUACAGAUUUUCCAGUUAGUGCCUGUCUAAGAAAUAACCUGCUUUUUAAUUGUGUCUCCAUUUCUUCUAUCUUGCUGUCCUGAAUCUGCCAGCCUUUACCACCUCCUUUGUAAAUUAUGCCCUUAUAUCAGGCAAAAAAAUUUAAUCUGUUCUAUAGUUCAUGGUUUGAUACAGAUACAAGUUUACACUAAUGCUGCAGAGACAUUUUUCAGCCUGUGGUAGAUGCACCUGUUCUGUCCAUCCCAUCAUUGUACAAGACAUAUUAAAUCAGAGCAUGUUCUUUAAAAAACACUUUUGUGUUUCUUCUUGAAGAUUUAUGUUAAUCUGGUACAUAAGUAAAAUGAAAAAAGAUCACCUCCUCCAAGCUCAGAAGCAAUGCAUCCAAAUGACGAAGAAGUCAGGCAGAAAUGACAGGAGGCGUGUGUGGAUGAACAAGUAGCAUCUGGACAAACUCCAACAUAAAAAGGAAGUCUACAGAGGGGACUUCAGCCAGGGAUCAAGUUAGGAAAGCUAAAGCCCUGACAGGAUUAAAUCUGGCCAGGGAUUUUAAGGGCAACAAAAAAAGCUUCUAUUAAGUACAUCAGGGAUAAAAGGAAGACUAGGGAAAAUGGGGGCUCUCUCUGGAAGGAAACAGGAGACCUGGUAACCUGGGAUAUUGAGAAGGCUGAACUGCUCAAUGAUUAUUUUUCCUCAGUCUUCACCCCACAGGUCACAGAAAGCAAGGGCUGGGACUGGGAGAGUAAAGAACCCCCUGAUCUGAGAAGAUCAGCUUUUUGACCAUCCAAGUAACUUGAAGGUGUACAAGUCCACGGGACAUGAUGGAUGCAUGUGUGAGUCCUGAGGGAACUAGAGGAUGAAGUGGCUAUGCUGCUGUCCAUCAUAUUUGAGAAGUCGUGGCAGUCACGAGGGCAACAAAGAUACUUUGAGGUCUGGAGCACCUCUCCUGUGAAGACAGACAGAGAGAGUUGGGGUUGUUCAGCCUGGAGAAGGCUCCACGGAGACCUUGUAGCAGCCUUCCAGUACUUAAACGGGCCCUAUAAGAAAGGCGGUGAGGAACUUUUUAUAAGGCCAUGUAGUGACAGGACAAAGGGGAAUGGCUUUAAACUGAAAGAGGAGAAAUUUAGAUUAGAUCUUAUGAAAAAAAUAUUUACUAUGAGGGUGGUGAGACAUUGGCAGAGGUUGCCCAGAGAAGCUGUGGCUGCCCCAUCCCUGGAAGUGUUCAAGGCCAGGCUGGAUGGGGCUUUGAGCAACCUGGUUUAGUGGAAGGUGCCCCUGCCUCUGUCAGGGGGGUUGAAACUACAUGGUCUUUGUGGUCCCUUCAACCCAAACCAUUCUGUGAUUCCAUGAUGAUUUUACAGUUCGGGAUAUUGGUCUUGUCAGUGACACCAACCCUGUAGAAACCAAGGGAAAUUAGAGUCUUUUUUUUCCUCCUUUUUAAAUGAAAUUGUUUGGCUGAUGUGUUCAAUUAGCAUUGGUCCAAUUACAAGAUACCCCAGUGAAGGAAAGCAGGAAGCAAUACAUCUUGCUUCCUAAGUAGACAUUUCAUUUUAUUUUUAAUCAGUGCUAUUAAGGAAGUCUUCCUUGGGGAGUAGGCUUCACUGAGGGUUUGUUCAUUAUCAGCUUAAGGUGACGCCAGAGGGAACCUUACUUAUUUCAUACCAGAAUUGAUUUAAAAAAAAUAAAUAACAAGUGCAUGCACAGGGGGUUGGUGCAUGUAUUUAGAAGUGGAGUUGCCAUUGGUAACACAGCUGAUUUCCUUUGUUAGAAGGGUCAUUGUUCAUUACUUACCUGAAGCAAAAGGUUAAUGGCCUGUAGCGAUCUGAAGAAACCACUACCAAAAUGCACAGCAAGGAUCUAAUGUUGUUAUACAGUAGUGCUUUCCACAUACUUCUUCUCAGAAACUUGGACACUUCAGAGACAUCAAUUAGCUGCCUCACUGAGAUGCACCUGUGAUGUAGGAUUUAGCCAAGUCACUCAGCAGCUCAGGGAAGAAAAUGCAGGAUAUGUGUUUCAAACCAAAGAAUAUCAUGAGAUUAGGCUGCAACCAUCAGUUGGUAGUUGAAGAAAAACUCCAAGUUGGCACUGCCUCUGGAAACUACAGUCUUGGCUGGUCCCUUGUGUGGGUAAAAGUAGUUGGUGUGGUAUAUGGGAAACGGCGAUCAGGCUGGCUAGGGAGCAGUUUUUUCCAGGGAAGUACCAGAGUGGUGUUGGUGGUUAACCUGGCCACUUUCCCAGUCACUUCCCUAAACAACUGUACAGAUGUAGGCGUCAGCAGGAGCAGAAUGGGGAGAAAAAAAUGCAGGAAGAGGCAUGACUGCUUUUUUUGAGUGACAGUGAUAGCCAGUAAUGGGAGAAAAGUCAGCUAAACCUUGUGAGUGGGGACAGCUUAAGGGCUGUCAUUUCUCAGAUUUAAAGACGAUAACGGCCAAGUGGUACCCAGUGCUUCUGAGUAAUAAUUCUGCCAGGACUAACUUGAAAUGAGUGAUGCCACAUAUUUAAUAAUUAGAAACUGUUCUUGCAGCACUCAUGCUGACCAUUCUCAACUGGGCCAUAGCUUGAGAGGAGAUAACCUUGUAUAUUAAAUAUGUAUCAGCAGCUUCAAUUUAUUUAGAGCCAGAUGCUGCCAAAAUGUCAUUUCUGUCAAUGAUAUUAACAUAGGUAUUGGAAUACUGUAUGAAAUUUCUUUUUAAUCUGCCCCUAAAUGCCAAUAGCUGAAUGCUACUAUAGAUCACAGUCUGCUGAACCUAAAAUUAUUGCUUGAGUCUAACUUUUCCACAUUGAAUAAAAACUUUUAGAAAGUACAGAUCUUUACCUUGUUUUAUUUGAGUGAUUUUUGAUAAACUUGCAGAUUUUAUUUUGAGGGUUGAAGUACACAUCUUAUCCAGGGAAUUGUGAGGAAAACUGCAGGCUUGUUCAGCACUAUUGCAGCUCACAAAUACAUCUCUAUCCAAGAAAUGAAAUGCAGUGUUUGUGUGUGACAGUUGCAUUGUCCAGAAUUGCCCUUCAGCUGUAUAUGUUAGUUGUGGGUUUAGCUGUUUUUCUUUAAAGGAACUGCAUAAAAGAGAAGAACAAAUCACUUUAUUUUCCAUACGUACCCUUAAGUCUUUUCCUUCUAAGUAAUCCUUUUCUACUGCAGUGAAUAAUUUGUCAGUCGCAUUGCUGUUACCUGUGAGUUAUCCUUCAUUUGACUUGUCGGUUUGCAGCAGCCUUUCUCUAAUUGUGUAUGCCAAUUAAUUUGGGUGCACUACCUCAGAUAAUACUAGUUACCUCCAUAAAGGUGUUUGCUUCUAAUUUUUCCCUUAUUUAGUUUGCAUGCUGUCUGUUUUGCUCAACUGGGGAGGAAUGCAGAGAAGGAGGAAAAGCAGUAGUAUAUCACUAAUUGGAACAAGACUUGACAGCAAGUUACAUAUUAAUAGAGAAUAAUACUAUUUAACCACAAGAACCUGUUUCAGAGAGAAACUUCUACAACGUUUUCUGAAUCUUUCUGGAAGCACUGCAGCUUGAACUGUUGCUUUUCACUCUGAACUUGCAGGUUGUAUAUUGUGCCCCUGCUUUUUGUACUAGGAGUUAGAAUAGUCUCUAUUAUGAAUAGAUUCAAUAUUGUAAAUACUAUAAAUGUAGAUUUUCUGUCUGUUUUGGAAGGUCUUGUGGCACUUCUGUUUAUGUGCUUGAGGCCAUAGUUUGAUUAACAAUCAAAAUAAGGAGCUCCUCACCUUUUUUUGUGAUAGUGUCUCAAUUUAGGAAGCCAAAACAGUGACCUAAAUCAACAAAGCUUAUCCAGCUGAAAAGUACCUUAUUUUAUCACUGUGAAAGUGGUAUCAUUCACUCACCAGGUUUGGUUUUUUUUUGUUAGAAAGUUAUAUAUUGCUCACAUCAUGGCCAUGAAAGUAUUUAUAAUAAUAAUUAAGGAAUAAUGGGUGGUGACAGGACUUGCUGAAGCUGGUACAAGCAGCAUGGCCACCAAAUAGGUGUGGGCUCAAACAUCACCAUCCCCAAAAGAUAGUCUGUCUGGGGAACUGAAAAAAGAAAAAAAGAGAAAAUGUCUGCAUUAAUGCAUAGAGCAUAUCUGCAGAAACAUAUAGGUAAAGCAAAAUACUUUGUCUCAAGAACCUGAUGUCUGCUCUGUAUAUACUUUGGGAUUUAGUUUUUUCUGUGAACUAGCCCUGGUCUAGUCCCAAGAGUGUAAUGCUCAGUUACUGCUGGAGCACACUCAGCAUUGUUCUGGAGAUCUCCCAAGUAAUUUAGUCAGAGCAGAAUCCAGCCCAUGCAUUCUGAGAUGCUGGGCCAUGAUGUGGAGCAAAGUUUGGAGGAUGAAGAAAUUCACUCUAUAAGUGUGCUACAUCUGCAAAGUAAAACCUCAGUAUAGAUGCAGUCCAGAAGACUUACUUGUCCAUAAUGACAAGAGCAUGUGGUCAAAGAAUUAAUGAUGGCCUUCAGAGUUAUAUCAUUGUAAUACAACUUUAGGCAUGCUUCCUUCUGAAUUCCCUUUAUUACUGAGAGAAACCUUAAGGUAGAAUAGGAUUGCUUAAUAAUUACCAGGCUCUAGGUAUAUAGACUGUAUAUGCACUGCAUUGUGCUUCUGCCAAUGUGAGGGUUCAGCAGUUAGUACCUGUGACACCACUGCUAUGUUUAAUUAGUGUAUUGAUAGUAAGAAGCAUGUAAUGGCAUAAAGCACUGGGACUUUCAUUACAGUUUUGGCAAAACUGAGCUGAAAGAAAAAGCAGCACAGAUGGCUGAAAAUAGUAGUAAAAUGUUCCAUUUCAUGUCUGCAGAAAUCAUUAGACAGCACUUAAAGAGGUGUUAUUAAUGCGUCACAUUCACUCGGGGAGUUGUAUUUCUGUAAUGUUCACUAAAACAAUGAUAUUUCUAUUUUUGUUUUUAAGUGGAGCCUUUGCCAAGUGCAGACGUGUUUCUCUGCAGCCAUGAAAUGGAUUUAUCCACUAUAAGGAAGAUGCAGAUUCUCUCAGUGUCUUCUAUUUUAUUCCUGCCAGCUCAGCACCGUAAGCAAGCAGGAGCAUAGCUGUAAUCUUUUGUCCACCAUUGACAAAAUUAGGUCUUACCAAUCGUAAGGAGUAACCACAAAAGUAGCAUGUUGGUUUCCUAUUGACAGUAAAUGUAGAUGACAGUUUUCAUAUAGUAAAUCAGAAGAUCAGAUGUGACCUACUUCCCAUGACAUGUAACACAAAAUCAACUUAAGUGCAACGUUUUGUAGUAAGCAAACCUUUGAAACUUUCUGCAAGACUUUAGGAGGAUUCUGAACAAGACUGUUUUUAGAGCACAGUACAUAUGAUUAGCCAGUGUUUCAUCAUGGGUACUGAAUGCUUCUUACAUCACUGCAAGAAACGAAGCAAAAAUCUGUCAGCUCUUUUGGCUGCCGAGUUGAAAAGCAUGGCUUUACCACAGUGUGUGACAAAGUUGCACAGCACUGAUUUGCUCUGUAAUCACAUUUUCUCUGGAAUGCUAACAAAAUCAUUUACAAGCAUUACUGGAGUAAUACAGGAUCAUUUAUUGAUCUCAGGUCUCCAUGAAGAGCCAUGGUCUUAUUGGUUCAUCUGCCAUUUACAAGCCUCUAUCUUGCUCUUAAAACCCCUUUUACUGGUACAGUUUGGUAGUUUCUGUUUGGUUUAUAGGUGUAUUUCCUUGUUCUUCAGUGGCAGAGAGGUAAACAGGUGUGAAUAGGUAAGCUCAUAAAUCUGAAAAUUUCCAUGUGAAUUCAGUCUCUCCAAUUAAAUUUAUUUUCUGGAUACAUGGAUACUUCUGAGCUUGCUCAGGAAGACAGUUUAUCUUGAGCUGAAGCAGCCUCUGUGUUUCCAAGAUAGAACAGUUUGAAUUAUCUGUUUUAAACUCUUUUAUCUCUCAUAUUUAAUCAAGAAAUCAUACAACCAAAUCAAAAAAAUAUCCCAUACAUGAAAUUUGAUCCCGCCUAAAGCACAUGGAAAUUCUGCUAAUGAAUUCAGCAAGAACAGGAUUUAACUCCUGCCUUUUCCCCCACUACGUCUAUAGAACAAGACUCUUCCUGAAAAGUACAUCCAUUAUAAUAACAAAUAUACAGAUCCAUGCAUUCGGUGUUUAGUAAGGCUAAAUGACCAUCGUUAACUGUUCUUAUUUGACCUACAAAAUGUUGUCUCCCCACUUGCUUUUCCUACUAAGCUGUACCGCUGUUAUUUUUGCCCAUGUGCUGGAAGCUUGGCCGUGCAGCCACAACUCCAUUUAUAUAUUAUAUCUGGCAGGUUUCAGUGCCAGUGGCUGUGUGAUGAGACCUUGGUAACUAGAAGUAAACUGAUCUAAUGCUACGCCUUGUACCUCCUAGGACAGAAAUGCUGUGGUUUUCCUCAGUUUGUAUGAAUGCAUUGUGUGCUGCUUCUUUUAGAAAGAGCUUGUUAGGAGGGAAAAAAAAAAGAAAUAAGAGUUCUUGGAAAGAUUUGUAUGUUUGUGCCUCUGUACUGGCCCUGAGUGAAAUAUGUGCUGAGUUUCAGUCAAAGGCUUACUUGUAUUUGGUGUGAAUUUCAAUCUGUUUCUAAUGGAUGCAGAACUGAGAAGGCAGUUUUCUCAAGUAAUCUCAGGAGUUUGAGAAUAAUGUUUGUGUUAAUAAAGACAAACUGAAGCUGAAACACAGGUUUUGAGUUUUUACAUGGCUCCAAAGGACUCUUGCAUGUUGAUUCGUAUAAAUUUUAAAUAAGAAACGUGUUAAGUAAUGAGCAUUUAAAUUUCAAAGUGAUUGUACCUGAAAAGCUCUGUCAUCUCUUUCACUUACUCUCAAUUAUCUCAGUAAGUGGCUGAGGUAGUAUCUACUAUUUUCAGAUACUUUGGAAAGCAUCAUCACAAGUUUUGUUUGGAUGCCUUACACACACACUUUGGAGAGUUCAGUAUCACUGUUGAGGAAUGCACUUUCUUGUGGUUUACAUUCAUUAAUUUUUCAGAAAUAUGUAUGUUCAUCCUCUGGUAUGAAGGAAUUUUUUACUACAGUUAUGUUGCCCUUGCAAAAAAUAUAUGUAUUUUUUCAAAUCAUCUUAGGAGAUUGGAUUCCUAUUUCCUAACUAGUACAAGCUUCAAACAAGUGUUACCUUUUUUUCCCCAUAGUUAAAACAACUGUGUUACAUUUGCAAAUCAGUGGCUUUAAAUCUUUUUUAAGAGCAGAUCUGUGCUAGAUGCUUCAGCGUUUUGUUUAAGUUGCUGCCUUUUGUGCAGUACUGAAGCUGAUGCUUUACAGGUAUGCACUGGCAAUCAGUAACUGCAAUGUUGCUAUUUUUGGAGUGUCAAAUUCUGUGCAUCAUUGUCCAGCAUCUCUUUUUAAUUUGUUCUGGAUAAAGGGUUUACAUUGUAGGUGAAGAGGUUAAAAGUGAUACUUACAUUUUUUAUGUUGAUUCACUUGGCAAUUUGCCAAGUAAGUUCCUCUCCACUACUCUCUGCUCAGUAUCUGCUUCUCAGUAUUCACAAGUGGAAGUUUUAUACAUUGGCAUACUUGUAAAUAAAGUUUAUAAUGUCAUUUCACUAGCAGUGUCUACAUUUUGUAGGUAGUCAAAGCAAGAGAAAACACAUUGUGCAGCCAGUUCCCAUUGCAAACAAUCUAGUCUAAGCAAUAAUUUUGGAGGAGCAGGGUUGGAGAGCCCAUCCUUUUGAACUCCAUAGCACUUGCAAGGGGUUCAGGCACGACUCAUGACGUGCAACCAGCAACACAUUUUAUCAAAACCAGGGAUUCUGGGUAAGCCAACAAACCCCUAGGACUUGUGAAGCUUGUUCAAGGAUGGAGUUGAAUCUCAGCUUUGUUCAGCCUAAUAUACAGUGUGUGCAUCUACUAGCUCCUUAGCUGCAGAGUCUUGUAGGACUGAGCGCAUUGGCUACCACACCUGUACAAAAUGCCCAACUGUUUGGCUUUUAGCAAACUGAGCAUCAUAGCUGGAGAGACAUGUAAACAAAAAUAUGAGAAGUUAGUGAUAGCCGAUAACAUCUUACUUUCAGGUAAUCUGUGAUUCUCUGUACUUCUUCCAAUAACGUGUUUUUCAUUUGUUCUGUGCAUACUCUUUUAACUUUUUACAGUUUACAAGUUGAUAUUCACACAAUUAAGGGGGAAAUUACCAAUGGAUACUUCCAAAAUGUUUCAAGUGACAUAGAGGUGGUAAACAAAAAACAGCUAACCUAUUUCUUUCCUGCUUCACCCCAGAAAAGAUGAAGCAGUUAAUACCAUCAGGUUGCCCAGGGACAGUAUCACAUUUCAUACAGUAUUGUUUUCUUCUUUGUCUUUGGGACCUUCUGCAUGUAAAUUCAUCAUCUUCUACUGCAAGUUUUAAGUCCAGAUAUUUUGUCAGUACAUCUUUCUACUCCCACUGUUCUAGUUUCGCCGUUCUAAAUAUUUUCUGCUACCUCAUGUCUGUGAAUAUAGUCUAAUGUGAAGGUCUGUUCUGCAUCUGAUCCAACCUGUAUCACCUAGUCCUCAUACCAAUUCCCAACUGUUACUCAGUUUCUAAUUUUUGCUGUGAAACCCAAACAUGUACAAGCUAUUUCUGUGACUUUUUUUACAGAAGUUUACAAAAAUUGGCAAGUAGGAAAGUACAAUAAAGAAUUCCCUUUUCCUCCAAGACUGUUUCAGUCCAAAGGGCAGUAAAAAACACUAUGAAAAGCAUUCUUAUUUUUAUGGCUGUACAGGAUUUAUAAUCUGAUAGUUGGAUGUCAUUAUAAAAAAAGGUGAAAAACAAAGCAGGGAAUAGGCAUCAGUGAGGAUUGGUUGCUUGGUUAGAGGGUUUGGAGUUUCAUGGAAAAGCUUGUGAAACUAGAAGAUGACCCCAAACUCCAGUGGAUCAUUUUUAAAAAUGUAAAGUACUUGAUCUUUCUGUCCUUAACGUUUCUUCUUUUGAAGUAUUGAGAUGACGGUGACUAUGAUCUUGUCCUUUCUUUCUUUCAUUCUUUCUUUUUUUCCCACUUGUUGUAGUUCGUUGUCAAAAAUGUCAAGUGUUCAAAAACUGAUGUGUCUGUGUGCAUUUCUUGUGUGAUCCUUUCAAGGACAAGAAUGAAAUUCACAGCACUUUUGCUGAGGUGGAUUUCCAAUGAGAAUGUGGAUCAGAGCCCAGCAAAUAGCAGUCCUCAUAAACAAGCUUUCUGUCUUUUUAAGAACCAGGCUUUAACCGUGAAGACACUAAUAGCCAUUUUGCUAUUAAUCUUGUGUACGAUACAAAGGCUUGGCACCAAAAAGCCUAGAAACUGGCCUCCAAAAAGCAAGCAUGUCUUAUGCUGUCUUCCAUUGUUAAUGUUAAUAAAUGCUGCCUCUGGGUUCACCUAUGGUAGAAAUCCUCUUAUUUCAUCUGGGGAAGGACUUUUAGAAGGGCCUGUUGUGGUAGGACAGUGGGUAAUAGUUUUAAUCUAAAAGACAGGAGAUUCAGGAUGAGUGUGAGGAAAAGAUUCGUUACAAUGCGGGUGGUAAAACACUGGCACAGGUUGCCCAGAGAAGGGGUAGAUGUGCCAACCCUGGAGGCAUUCAAGGCCAGGGUGGAUGUGGUUCUGAGCAACCUAUCUAGCUGAAGAUGUCCCUGCUUGUUGCAGGAAGAUUGGACUAGAUGACCUUUGAAGGUCCCUUCCAACCCAAGCCAUUCUGUGACUCUACUAUGAUCUACGCUUAGCAAGAAUGGGUGAAGUUCAUUGUCAACAAACUAAAGCAACAGCAGCUGUUAUGAAUUAAAUUCAUUUCAGAAAGGUAUUUCUUAACUAAAUACCAGUGAACAUAACAUUCAACCGUGUUGCGAAACUGAUGAUAAUCCUUUGUUCAGUCAUAUAAAAGCUCCCUGUUCCCUCUACUUAACAGAACAGGGUCAACCAUAGAGUAAGAGAAGUACAUGAUGUGAUCUUGACGGAUCUUAAAGUGUCAUAACUUAUGCAAGAAGUUUUCUUCUAAACUGACUAGGUGUUCCAAAGUAGUGGGAACUGGAUUGUAAUGAUAUUAUUAUAUAAGCUGUUCCUUAUGUGACCACAUAACAGAUCCUCUUCCACACCAACAUUUCUAAUAUUUAGAGGCUAUGGGUGGCAGUUAAACAUACAUCCUAAGUUUUGGUGGCACAGGUGGAAAGGUGUAGUCAUUUAGGCCUGCACAAUGUUAGAUCAGAGAGAAAAGUGCAGACAGAAAUAAAACUUACAUCCUAACAUGCCCUUUAUUUUCUCAUAAGGAAAUAAUGCUGCUAAAUCUUGCUGCAAAUUUUACUGUAGAACAGUGGAAUACAGUACAGUGUGCAUCCAAACAAGCUCAAAAGGAGCCAUGCUAAUUUUAGUCAGUGGUGGCUCAGAAAGUCAAAUCUUAGCAAUAAUGUAUAGAAGAGCACCCACUCACCGCCACCUCUUUUUCUCCAUAUGAAAAGCUGGUUUAGAUGAGGUUCUGUUACAGUAUUUAAUACAUGGAGUUCACAGUUUGAAUAUGUGCAGAAUUAGUUUGUUUUCAUGGAUCACAAAUGUUUUUAAUAAAUAUUCCAGGCUUGAUACUGCUGGAGUGUGUUUUUACCAUACACUUUAUGUUGGGGAGUUGCCUAGCAAGGUCAAAGAAAUGAAAAUAUUUGCUCUGGCAUUCAAGCAAGUUCUAAAAGAGCUUAGGCAAUAUUUCUGCUACAGAAAAUGUCCUUUUAGACCUGCCCAAGUUCUGCUCUAAUUUGUUAAUGUAAUUUUUCUAAAAUAAAAUACAGAAGAGUCCCUUGAUUGUGCCUUGCUUCUCCUUCCAUGCUGAAAUAGAAUUCUUUUGUGAGAUA